rnacentral:rRNA from 1 species
AACGAACGCUGGCGGCAGGCCUAACACAUGCAAGUCGAGCGAGUAUUUCGGUGCUAGCGGCGGACGGGUGGGUAACGCGUGGGGACGUGCCCAUUUCUGCGGAAUAGACCGGGGAAACAGGGGGUAAUACCGCAUAUGCUCUUGUGGGGAAAGAUUGAUCGGAGGAGGAUGGGCUUGGGUGGGAUUAGGUAGUUGGUGGGGUAAUGGCCCACCACGACGACGAUCCAUAGCUUGUUUGAGAGGAAGAUCAGCCACACUGGGACUUAGACACGGCCCCGACUCCUACGGGAGGCAGCAGAGGGGGAUCUUAGACAAUGGGGGCAACCCUGAUCGUGCCAUGCCGCGGAAGUAAUGAAGGCCUUAAGGUAGGAAAGCACUUUCAGCUGGGAAUAUAAUGACGGUACCAGCAGAAGAAGCCCCGGCUAACUCCGUG